GGGCUGGUAGCUCAGUGGUCUAGAGCAAGCGACUCAUAAUCGCCGGGUCGCAGGUUCGAAUCCUGCCCAGCCUA
rnacentral:tRNA from 2 species